CAGCCGCCGCGGGAAUACGUAGGGUGCGAGCGUUAAUCGGAAUUACUGGGCGUAAAGCGUGCGCAGGCGGUUAUAUAAGACAGAUGUGAAAUCCCCGGGCUCAACCUGGGACCUGCAUUUGUGACUGUAUAGCUAGAGUACGGUAGAGGGGGAUGGAAUUCCGCGUGUAGCAGUGAAAUGCGUAGAUAUGCGGAGGAACACCGAUGGCGAAGGCAAUCCCCUGGACCUGUACUGACGCUCGUGCACGAAAGCGCGGGGAGCAAACAGGAUUAGAUACCCCGGUAGUCCCUGUCUCUUAUAC
rnacentral:rRNA from 1 species